AGACCGCCAGCUAAGGUCCCAAAGUCAUGGUUAAGUGGGAAACGAUGUGGGAAGGCCCAGACAGCCAGGAUGUUGGCUUAGAAGCAGCCAUCAUUUAAAGAAAGCGUAAUAGCUCACUGGUCGAGUCGGCCUGCGCGGAAGAUGUAACGGGGCUAAACCAUGCACCGAAGCUGCGGCAGCGACACUGUGUGUUGUUGGGUAGGGGAGCGUUCUGUAAGCCUGUGAAGGUGUGUCGUGAGGCAUGCUGGAGGUAUCAGAAGUGCGAAUGCUGACAUAAGUAACGAUAAAGCGGGUGAAAAGCCCGCUCGCCGGAAGACCAAGGGUUCCUGUCCAACGUUAAUCGGGGCAGGGUGAGUCGACCCCUAAGGCGAGGCCGAAAGGCGUAGUCGAUGGGAAACGGGUUAAUAUUCCCGUACUUGGUGUUACUGCGAAGGGGGGACGGAGAAGGCUAUGUUGGCCGGGCGACGGUUGUCCCGGUUUAAGCGUGUAGGUGUGUGUUCCAGGUAAAUCCGGUUCACUUUAACACUGAGGCGUGACGACGAGGCACUACGGUGCUGAAGCAACAAAUGCCCUGCUUCCAGGAAAAGCCUCUAAGCAUCAGGUAACAUCAAAUCGUACCCCAAACCGACACAGGUGGUCAGGUAGAGAAUACCAAGGCGCUUGAGAGAACUCGGGUGAAGGAACUAGGCAAAAUGGUGCCGUAACUUCGGGAGAAGGCACGCUGACACGUAGGUGAAGUGAUUUACUCAUGGAGCUGAAGUCAGUCGAAGAUACCAGCUGGCUGCAACUGUUUAUUAAAAACACAGCACUGUGCAAACACGAAAGUGGACGUAUACGGUGUGACGCCUGCCCGGUGCCGGAAGGUUAAUUGAUGGGGUCAGCGCAAGCGAAGCUCCUGAUCGAAGCCCCGGUAAACGGCGGCCGUAACUAUAACGGUCCUAAGGUAGCGAAAUUCCUUGUCGGGUAAGUUCCGACCUGCACGAAUGGCGUAAUGAUGGCCAGGCUGUCUCCACCCGAGACUCAGUGAAAUUGAACUCGCUGUGAAGAUGCAGUGUACCCGCGGCAAGACGGAAAGACCCCGUGAACCUUUACUAUAGCUUGACACUGAACAUUGAGCCUUGAUGUGUAGGAUAGGUGGGAGGCUUUGAAGUGUGGACGCCAGUCUGCAUGGAGCCGACCUUGAAAUACCACCCUUUAAUGUUUGAUGUUCUAACGUGGACCCGUUACCCGGGUUGCGGACAGUGUCUGGUGGGUAGUUUGACUGGGGCGGUCUCCUCC
rnacentral:rRNA from 1 species